rnacentral:tRNA from 1 species
AGUCUUAUAUUCAAUAAUGAUAUAAAAUUGCAAAUUUUAAGGGGUAAAUAUUUUACUAAGGCUU